UAACAGGAUUUUUGCUGUGGAUUGUCAAAAGUCCAUGGCAUACAAACUGACACACUGAAUUGGGUUGAACAACAUUAGCAAGAUUUCCACACAGAGAAAUUCUGCUGUGCUAGCUGAAUAAUAUUCUGUAGAUAGGAGAUGAGAUAAAGAAGCGAAGAAACACAAUAUACAGGGAAAAGCUGAAAGAAAAGGCAAGAGAGGUUGUAGAACCUCUGUCACAGGGAUACACAGAACUCAGCUGGAAAAGGCCCUGAAGAACCUGACCUAUUUGGCCCUGCUCUAAGCACAAAGUUGGACCAGACACCUCCAUAGGAUCCUCACAAUCCCUGUCAUUCUGUUCUAUCACCCCAGUGCUCAGAUUCUGAAGCUAUACUUGCCUGACACAGAUUUCUAUCCCAACCUUUCCUAUCCCAGUUUCAACAGCAUUGCACAGUAUCACAAAGAGAUAAAGGAAACAUCUUUACCAUAAGGUUAACAGUGCAGCCGAUUUUCUUGUUUUCUGUUUCAUCUCCUUUCAUACAGUCCCUAAGAAAGCAGAGCAAUGUUAAAACAUACAUCUGCAAAAAAAGCCCUUUUAAAAUUAAUUUGAAGCUAUCUUAUCCUCCAGAGCCUCCUUGGAUCACAAACAAUAGUUAAUCAUACACUCUAUUUUAUGAAGUUCCUCUAAGAAAAAUUUCUGUAUUACGUCUUAAAUGAUAUGAGAACUGAGUGUCCUCUUACACGUCUGCAUCUGAGAACCUGAAAUGACUGCUACUUCGUUUCUUACAAGGAUCUGAACAAAAUCAGAUGAUAGUCACUAAAAAUCAUCUGAAUGAACGAGCUAGUAUAAAAGUGAAAAACUAUUAUUUAUCUAAAUGUAAAUGUUUAGUGGUUUCCUAGUCAAAAGAUUAGCUUUCACAAAUUCAGUUAUCCA